rnacentral:rRNA from 1 species
UACAGAGGGUGCGAGCGUUGUUCGGAAUUAUUGGGCGUAAAGGGCGCGUAGGCGGUGCGGUAAGUCACCUGUGUAAUCUCCUGGCUCAACUGGGAGCUUGCAGGCGAAACUGCCGUGCUGGAGUGUGGGAGAGGUGCGUGGAAUUCCCGGUGUAGCGGUGAAAUGCGUAGAGAUCGGGAAGAACAUCAGUGGCGAAAGCGACUUCCUGGACCAAUACUGACGCUCAUGUGCGAAAGCGUGGGGAGCAAACAGG